CAACGACUCUCGACAACGGAUAUCUCGGCUCUCGCAUCGAUGAAGAACGUAGCGAAAUGCGAUACUUGGUGUGAAUUGCAGAAUCCCGUGAACCAUCGAGUCUUUGAACGCAAGUUGCGCCCGAAGCCAUUAGGUUGAGGGCACGUCUGCCUGGGUGUCACG
rnacentral:rRNA from 1 species